UGGGGAAUAUUGGACAAUGGGCGCAAGCCUGAUCCAGCCAUGCCGCGUGAGUGAUGAAGGCCUUAGGGUUGUAAAGCUCUUUUAGCGGGGAAGAUAAUGACGGUACCCGCAGAAAAAGCCCCGGCUAACUUCGUGCCAGCAGCCGCGGUAAUACGAAGGGGGCUAGCGUUGCUCGGAAUUACUGGGCGUAAAGCGCACGUAGGCGGACUCUUAAGUCGGUGGUGAAAUCCUGGAGUUCAACUCCAGAACUGCCUUCGAUACUGGGAGUCUUGAGUUCGGGAGAGGUGAGUGGAACUGCGAGUGUAGAGGUGAAAUUCGUAGAUAUUCGCAAGAACACCAGUGGCGAAGGCGGCUCACUGGCCCGAUACUGACGCUGAGGUGCGAAAGCGUGGGGAGCAAACA
rnacentral:rRNA from 1 species